GAGAGCAAAGUACAAUGAAAGUUAUAAGCUGUGUUCGGGGGGGACUUAUUGUCUAUCAUUGGACUCUAUGGUAGAAUCAAUCGGGGGACCUGAGAGGCGGUGGUUUACCCUGC
rnacentral:ncRNA from 1 species